rnacentral:lncRNA from 1 species
CACGAGUUAUAAAAUCAACAUGCCAACAAAACUAGGAUGAGAUAUGGUUCAUCUGUAGCUGAAGAAAGGUCCCUGAUAGAGAAAAAAAAUUGGAGCAAAAAAGAGGAGAGGCGCACCACCAAUGGAAAUGAGCAAAGAAAGAUACCAAAAAUUCGUAGUCCGACGAGCAGGACGCUGCCUUCAGGCCCGCCACAGCCGCUGGGUCCGGGAGGGUGGCCAGCGAGGAGAGGGGACGAUGUGUCGGCCUCCCAGGUUGGGGCUGGCUGCGGUUGGCCUCCGGGCAUGCCCGAGGCCGAGGCCGAGGUGGAGCAAAGGGGGCCCCGGAGCUCGCGGACCGGAGCUCUCCUGCUCCCGUUGCUUGAUCCCGUCAGGUGCGUCGGCGACCUGCAGAGAGACGGCCAUGGCGGGGGAAAAUCAGAGAACAGGUAGCAGGGAAAGAGGGUAAACAAGCGAAGGGAGGUGGGAGUAGCGGUGCCGGGGCUUCAGCGACGCAGGGACUCGGACUGGAGCGGCGUGGUCGAAUGGAUCUGGUUGUGUCGGGUUCAUCCAUGGCGGCUGGGACAUGCUGCUCGAACAGAGAGAAAGAGGGGUGAGAGAGAGAAAGAACGCGAGAGAAGGGAGAGGGAAACAGCGGCAGGGCUCGCCGGAGCACAUGGGGGAGCGGCGGAGGCUGUCUUCAUUGGCGGCGAGCUUGAUGGCCGAAGCUGCAGCACGGGCGGCGAGUGGCAAAUGGUGGGGAUCGGGGAACUUGUCCUGUGGUGACGGCGCUGAGGGAGGACGAGGAGGAGAUUGGGAGGAUCGACCGAGUGGGGCUGAUGCGGUGCGGCUGGCUAGGGUGCUAGGGCGAGCUGGGCCUUGGGCCGGCUAGCUGCCUGCUGCUGAGCUUUUGCAACGCAGGGAAGCUGGGCCUGCUCUAUUCUCGCGUGCGUCGCUGAUGGAAACAAUCGAUCCUGUCUCUCAAAAAAGUAAACAAUUGAUCUUUUUUUAAAGGAAAUAUCUAAUCAAUUAUCAUUACGCGAGGAGCACAUGUGGAGGAAGGUGAGGCGUGUGUGUGCGUGCCCUCAACGAAAAGAGCAUGAAUCUACUGCUGCCUGAUCUGCUAGCUCACACGUGCUUCUACGGCUAGACAUACAUGUCCUGCUACUGCUAAUCAACCUCAUUCUGUUCGACAAGCUUUGUACAUGUCUUACUUAUGGCGAAAAUCGAUUUAGUGCCUUCGUCGACGGUCGAGGUUCGUCAGCGUCUACAGUGAUCCAUGG